rnacentral:rRNA from 1 species
CUAAGGCCAACGGGAGAAGGGUUGUUAAGGAACUCGGCAAAUUGACCCCGUAACUUCGGGAGAAGGGGUGCUCCAGAGAUGGAGCCGCAGAGAAUCGGCCCAAGCAACUGUUUACCAAAAACACAGGUUUGUGCUAAAUCGAAAGAUGACGUAUACGAGCUGACGCCUGCCCGGUGCUGGAAGGUUAAGAGGAGAUGUGCAAGCAUUGAAUCGAAGCCCCAGUGAACGGCGGCCGUAACUAUAACGGUCCUAAGGUAGCGAAAUUCCUUGUCAGGUAAGUUCUGACCCGCAUGAAAGGCGUAAUGAUUUGGGCACUGUCUCAACAGCCCGCCCGGCGAAAUUGUAGUACCGGUGAAGAUGCCGGUUACCCGCGACAAGACGGAAAGACCCCAUGGAGCUUUACUGUAGCCUAAUAUUGGGUUUCGAUGUUGCAUGCACAGGAUAGAUGGGACACUGGGAAGCAGGUGCUUUGGCGUUUGUGGAGUGGCCGUUGGGAUACCAUCCUUGCGAUAUUGGAAUUCUAACCUGCGCCUUUGAAUCAAGGCGGGGGACAUUGUUAGGUGGGCAGUUUGACUGGGGCGGUCGCCUCCUAAAGAGUAACGGAGGCGUUCAAAGGUUCGCUCAGCUUGAACGGAAAUCAAGCAAAAGAGUGCAAACGCAGAAGCGAGCCUAACUGCGAGACUGACGGGUCGAGCAGUAACGAAAGUUGGAGUUAGUGAUCCGGUGGUAUGUGAGUGGAAAUGCCAUCGCUCAACGGAUAAAAGUUACCCUGGGGAUAACAGGCUGAUCUCCCCCAAGAGUCCACAUCGACGGGGAGGUUUGGCACCUCGAUGUCGGCUCAUCGCAUCCUGGGGCUGUAUUCGGUCCCAAGGGUUUGGCUGUUCGCCAAUUAAAGCGGUACGCGAGCUGGGUUCAGAACGUCGUGAGACAGUUCGGUCCCUAU